rnacentral:rRNA from 1 species
UACGGAGGGGGCAAGCGUUGUUCGGAAUUAUUGGGCGUAAAGAGCUCGUAGGCGGCUUGUCGCGUCGGACGUGAAAGCUUGGGGCUUAACUCCAAGUCUGCGUUCGAUACGGGCAGGCUAGAGGCAGGUAGGGGAGAACGGAAGUUCCCGGUGUAGCGGUGAAAUGCGCAGAUAUCGGGAGGAACACCGGUGGCGAAGGCGGUUCUCUGGGCCUGUACUGACGCUGAGGAGCGAAAGCGUGGGGAGCGAACAGG